AGGCAGCAGUGGGGAAUAUUGCACAAUGGGGGAAACCCUGAUGCAGCGACGCCGCGUGAGCGAAGAAGUAUUUCGGUAUGUAAAGCUCUAUCAGCAGGGAAGAAAUUGACGGUACCUGAGUAAGAAGCUCCGGCUAAAUACGUGCC
rnacentral:rRNA from 1 species